rnacentral:misc_RNA from 1 species
CCAGUGGCAGGUGAUCAGCAUCCAAG